ACCUAAUCCGAAUCCAAAUUGAUUUUAUAUUAUUAUAUGAUAUAUGAAUGAUUGAUGUUAUAUUUGAAUUUGUAUUUUAUAAAUUUAAAUUUUAAUAUAAUAUAUUUUAAAAUAUGGUAAAGAGAAAUAAUUGUUUCGAGUUCGGACUUUCGAGUUCCGGAUUUUUGUUCAGGUUCGGUUCUGGGUAUGAGUUUUCAUUGGGACUGACAUCGGAUUCAGAUCCGAGUUUUAGGUUUAAGUCUCAGAUUCAGAUUUUUA
rnacentral:lncRNA from 1 species